rnacentral:rRNA from 1 species
AGAGUUUGAUCCUGGCUCAGGAUGAACGCUGGCGGCGUGCCUAAUACAUGCAAGUCGAGCGAACAGACGAGGAGCUUGCUCCUCUGACGUUAGCGGCGGACGGGUGAGUAACACGUGGAUAACCUACCUAUAAGACUGGGAUAACUUCGGGAAACCGGAGCUAAUACCGGAUAAUAUAUUGAACCGCAUGGUUCAAUAGUGAAAGACGGUUUUGCUGUCACUUAUAGAUGGAUCCGCGCCGCAUUAGCUAGUUGGUAAGGUAACGGCUUACCAAGGCAACGAUGCGUAGCCGACCUGAGAGGGUGAUCGGCCACUCUGGAACUGAGACACGGUCCACACUCCUACGGGAGGCAGCAGUAGGGAAUCUUCCGCAAUGGGCGAAAGCUUGACGGAGCAACGCCGCGUGAGGGAUGAAGGUCUUCGGAUCGUAAAACUCUGUUAUUAGGGAAGAACAAAUGUGUAAGUAACUAUGCACGUCUUGACGGAACCUAAUCAGAAAGCCACGGCUAACUACUUGCCACCAGCCGCGGUAAUACGUAGGUGGCAAGCGUUAUCCGGAAUUAUUGGGCGUAAAGCGCGCGUAGGCGGUUUUUUAAGUCUGAUGUGAAAGCCCACGGCUCAACCGUGGAGGGUCAUUGGAAACUGGAAAACUUGAGUGCAGAAGAGGAAAAGUGGAAUUCCAUGUGUAGCGGUGAAAUGCGCAGAGAUAUGGAGGAACACCAGUGGCGAAGGCGACUUUCUGGGUCUGUAACUGACGCUGAUGUGCGAAAGCGUGGGGAUUAAACACGAUUAGAUACCCUGGU